ensembl:snoRNA
CCAGUGCUACAUGAUGAUAUAAAUGUUGGUAGGGACAUCUGAAUGACUGUGAGGAAAUGCCAACUCUUCUGACUGCACGGG